rnacentral:rRNA from 1 species
AUUGAACGCUGGCGGCAGGCUUAACACAUGCAAGUCGAGCGGAGAUGAGGUGCUUGCACCUUAUCUCAGCGGCGGACGGGUGAGUAAUGCUUAGGAAUCUGCCUAUUAGUGGGGGACAACAUUCCGAAAGGAAUGCUAAUACCGCAUACGUCCUACGGGAGAAAGCAGGGGAUCUUCGGACCUUGCGCUAAUAGAUGAGCCUAAGUCGGAUUAGCUAGUUGGUGGGGUAAAGGCCUACCAAGGCGACGAUCUGUAGCGGGUCUGAGAGGAUGAUCCGCCACACUGGGACUGAGACACGGCCCAGACUCCUACGGGAGGCAGCAGUGGGGAAUAUUGGACAAUGGGGGGAACCCUGAUCCAGCCAUGCCGCGUGUGUGAAGAAGGCCUUAUGGUUGUAAAGCACUUUAAGCGAGGAGGAGGCCACUGAGACUAAUACUCUUGGAUAGUGGACGUUACUCGCAGAAUAAGCACCGGCUAACUCUGUGCCAGCCGCCGCCGUAAGAC